rnacentral:rRNA from 1 species
CUUUUCUUUUUUUUCUCUGAGGAAGGGUCGGGCGACUGACAGAGGGAUCGGGGCUGGGCGGCGGCGACGGCGGCGGCGGAGGGAGGAGGGCGGGGCGCGGCGAGAGGUGGAGGAGGGCCGAGGGUAGGUGGCUUUCGGCGGCGGCGGCGAAGAGGAAGUGUAGCGGCGGAACGGGGACAUGCUGCGGCCGGCGGAGGGAUUAGCGCUUGCCGCCCCUCCUCUGCUCCGCGCCGCCUUAAGGCGUGGCCUCAUCUCGCCUGGCAGAGGAGCGUCGAGGGGGCGGGUGCGACGGCGAACACUCCACUAUCGUGGGGGCGGGGCAGAUGGCACAGUGGCGUUGGACGGCGGGUACCGGCCCCUUCUGCCGUUCCACCUAGUAGGUGCGGCGUCGCCCGCGGACUUCCGAGUUUGAGCGCGCCUAGUCCUCGUGCCACGACUCCUGUGGUCGCUCCACCUGACGAGCGCGGCGGCGACAGAGUCCGGAGUCAGAAGGAGCCCGGUCCUCCAGCUACCGCUCCGCCUGGUGGGCGCGAUGUUAAAUGCGGAGUCCUCGGUGACACGACACUCGUUCCUUCCGUUCCUAGUAUUGUCCCACUUUUUCGGUUUCGUACUCAAAAAAGAGAUAUAACUAAUGAUAUCCCUCUUCCUCUUCCGUUUGCCUUCUUUCAAUUUGCGAGCUCUACGUUCAUUUGUCCGAUUCACCUACACCUUUUUCUACUCACUACGACUGUUUCGGGGGAUGUUCCGUCUCCGAUAUUCUGAUUCACGUCUUAUGUUUCUUUUUUUUCCCUUCCUACUUGACGAGAAGUGGUCUUCACCAGAGGUGCGGGGGUGGCCACUUACUGUGCCGAAGUCUCCACUAGCGGUGCGGAGGUCGCCACUUACCGUGCGGUGGUCGACACUUACCGUGUGGAGAUGUCCACUAGCAGUACGGUGGUCGACACUUACUGUGCGGUGGUCGACACUUACCGUGCGGUGGUCGACACUUACCGUGUGGAGAUGUCCACGGGUUGAAGUCACUGGGCAGAACCGAAGUCCUAGAAGGUCGUGGAGGUGUCCACACAAGUGGUCUGCUUUAGACGGUUGAAAUAAAGUACGGCUGAACAAUAUUUAUAACUCUGCACGAAAAAAGCCGUAACUUUUACAUCCUCGGUCAUAAGUCGAAAUCGCCUUCAAGUUACCAUACAAGAGUUAUAAAUAGAAAAACAAUUGUAACUUAGAUAAAUAUACAAAAUCAGUGUAGAAACAACAUCCUGGGCCACAGAUACAUACAAAGUUGACCCGGCCUUCGUAGUUCGCUAAGCUUCAGAAACAAAUUCUUUCCUUUUCCACUACCGCACGCCGGAAGCGGGGGCAGCCACUUGUCCGGUCGACACUCCGCUCCAUCGUUCAUCUUUUCCCUCGUUCUGUUUUGAACACAAUGGAACACCUGCGACGUGCAGUACCGUCGGUCUGUCGCACGCUAACUCGAGGUGAUGAGGUCAACUCUAGUCGAACAUCUCAAAGUGUAAGAAGCCAAGUCGAACAUCUGAAAAAAAAGAAAAGAAAAGAACUCACGUUUACAAUUCCCAGGCAUCCUUGUUAAAACAUGUUCAAAAGACGAUCGUUUACAUGUCCCGAUGCAUUAAACAAAUCAUUAGCAUUUAACGAUCGUUU